rnacentral:misc_RNA from 1 species
AUUAUCUUAGCUCAAUAACAACUUGAUCUCAACUUCUAAUUUUUAAUGAGGUAGUUGUGUGUCGUGAUACAUUAGCACAAGUACUGUCUUUGAGUUGCUGCAUCCAUGGUGAUGUUGUUUCCAUGAAGUGGAGUCUUAUCAUUUAUAAUCUAAUAGGCAUUGAGAUUGAAACUACUUUUUCCAGAAAACACUUUUAGAUGUUAUUGAACAAAGUAGUCUGAAAUUUUUAUUUAGCUGUUUUUCAAUUUUUAUGAUAGCAACAUGUCAAAAUCUACCCUUAAAACAAAUUUUAGUUGCAUUUAAUCAACAUUUCAAAUUGUUGCUUUUCUCGACAGCAACCACAAGGAUGCCAAACAGAAUCUCAGUCCUUGAUAACACUAUCCUACUUACAUAUAUUCAUUUGUUCAUUCAUUUAUGUUGGUGCGAUGGCUCAUCAGUGAGUUCAAGAAGCUUGUAUUCACAAUACCUUUGUUCUUGAAAUACUGCUGCCUAUAUUUUUAGGUUGUCCCUAAUGGUUGGUUGGUUAGGAAUCUGGGAAGUGCCCAAUCAUAUAUUGGCUAUUGGGCUUGAACAGAUAGGUUCUUUAUUCUCUUUGUUCUGCUUUGUCUUAGCAGUGUUCAUAUUGGUUCUGUUCAAGAUCACAAUUGAUGAAUUCAUAUCCUGGUCUGGUGGAGAUGUAAUUUUGCUUCACAUCAUUCCAUGUUUGAUGAAUAACUUUCGUUGGCUUGACUGAUCACUGAUCUUUCUGUAACUUAAGUUCCGUUGGUCACAUUUUUAUAUGCUGAAGAUUCAGCAUCACAUCACCUUGUACUCACCAAUGACCAAUCUUAGUUCAUAUUGCAUCUUGACAUUUUGAUCUUAUGAUCUGUGCACUUGAGAAAUUUUUCCUUACUUUUGUUUGCUUGUCUUGGAUUGUAUACAUUCAAGCUGAUUUGAUCCUACUUGCUUUUGCUUCAAUUCACUUGUUAACCCUGGCUUUAAUUAUCACUUCUUUCAAAAAGUAAUUGACCAUUUGACUUUUGAGAUUUACUAGUUCGAUCUGCUUCAUAGCUGUUUCCAUGUCCAUACUCAUCACUGUCACCAAAAUGGGCACCUCACCUCGUGGAAGCCACCUUUCUUCGCAUGAAUAUUAAUCAGUCCUUUAACUUCAUGUUUUUUUUAUAUGGUGAUGGUCUUGGAAUGGUUAUGGUUAUUGCCUCUAUUAAUAUUGCUUUUUGGUCCUUUAGGGUUGGGAGACAAGUGGUUAAUAUUCCCUCAUUUAUGGUGAGGGUGGACUC